rnacentral:miRNA from 1 species
UGGUUUGGUCAAAAAGUUUGUUUGGGUUUUUCAUAACAUCUUAUGGGAAAACCCAAACAAAAUUUUUAGCCAAACCAAU